rnacentral:rRNA from 1 species
GAUGAACGCUAGCGGCAGGCCUAACACAUGCAAGUCGCGGGGUAACAGGGUUGCUUGCAACCGCUGACGACCGGCGCACGGGUGCGUAACGCGUAUGAAAUCUACCUUUUACAGGAGUAUAGCCCGAAGAAAUUCGGAUUAAUCCUCCAUAGUAUUGUAUUGUGGCAUCACAUUACAAUUAAAGCUACGGCGGUAAAAGAUGAUCAUGCGUCUUAUUAGCUAGUUGGUAUGGUAACGGCAUACCAAGGCUACGAUAAGUAGGGGUCCUGAGAGGGAGAUCCCCCACACUGGUACUGAGACACGGACCAGACUCCUACGGGAGGCAGCAGUGAGGAAUAUUGGACAAUGGUCGCAAGACUGAUCCAGCCAUGCCGCGUGCAGGAAGACAGCCCUACGGGUUGUAAACUGCUUUUCUACAGGAAGAAUAAUCCAUACGUGUAUGGAGAUGACGGUACUGUAGGAAUAAGCAUCGGCUAACUCCG